rnacentral:rRNA from 1 species
GACGAACGCUGGCGGCGUGCCUAAUACAUGCAAGUCGAGCGAGACUCUUCGGAGUCUAGCGGCGGACGGGUGAGUAACACGUGGGCAACCUGCCUGUAAGACUGGGAUAACACCGGGAAACCGGUGCUAAUACCGGAUAAUCCUUUUCCUCUCAUGAGGGAAAGCUGAAAGUCGGUUUCGGCUGACACUUACAGAUGGGCCCGCGGCGCAUUAGCUAGUUGGUGAGGUAACGGCUCACCAAGGCGACGAUGCGUAGCCGACCUGAGAGGGUGAUCGGCCACACUGGGACUGAGACACGGCCCAGACUCCUACGGGAGGCAGCAGUAGGGAAUCUUCCACAAUGGACGAAAGUCUGAUGGAGCAACGCCGCGUGAGCGAUGAAGGCCUUCGGGUCGUAAAGCUCUGUUGUUAGGGAAGAACAAGUACCGGAGUAACUGCCGGUACCUUGACGGUACCUAACCAGAAAGCCACGGCUAACUACGUGCCAGCAGCCGCGGUAACAC